UGGGGAAUCUUGGACAAUGGGGGCAACCCUGAUCCAGCGACGCCGCGUGGGUGACGAAGGCCUUAGGGUUGUAAAGCCCUUUUCUCGGGGAAGAUGAUGACGGUACCCGAGGAAUAAGCACCGGCUAACUCCGUGCCAGCAGCCGCGGUAAUACAGAGGGGGCAAGCGUUGUCCGGACUUACUGGGCGUAAAGCGCACGCAGGUGGUAACGCAAGUGGGGUGUGAAAGCCGCCAGCUCAACUGGCGGAGGCCAUCCCAAACUGCGUCACUUGAGGCCUGUAGAGGUAUGUGGAAUUGCCGGUGUAGUGGUGAAAUGCGCAGAGAUCGGCAGGAACACCCAGGGGGAAGCCAGCAUACUGGACAGGUCCUGACACUCAGGUGCGACAGCGUGGGGAGCGAACCGGAUUAGAUACCCCCGUAGUCC
rnacentral:rRNA from 1 species